UACGUAGGGUGCGAGCGUUGUCCGGAUUUAUUGGGCGUAAAGGGCUCGUAGGCGGCCUGUCGCGUCGGGAGUGAAAGCCCACUGCUUAACGGUGGGUCUGCUUCCGGUACGGGCGGGCUGGAGUAUGGCAGGGGAGACUGGAAUUCCUGGUGUAGCGGUGAAAUGCGCAGAUAUCGGGAGGAACACCGGUGGCGAAGGCGGUUCUCUGGGCCUUACCUGACGCUGAGGAGCGAAAGCGUGGGGAGCGAACAGG
rnacentral:rRNA from 1 species